GUGUUCGUAAAAAAGAGAGAUGGUUGGCAUCUUCCCCCACAGACUAUGGUUUUAUCUGUUACCACAUAUUCGUUCAAGGCAUUCGACCUCUCUGAGAUUAGUAAAAGGAUGUACUUAUUC
rnacentral:ncRNA from 1 species